GCGCGCAAUUACCCAAUCCUGACUCAGGGAGGUAGUGACAAGAAAUAACAAUAAACCGGCUUAUGCCGGUUUAAUUGGAAUGAGUACAAUUUAAACAUCUUAACGAGGAACAAUUGGAGGGCAAGUCUGGUGCCAGCAGCCGCGGUAAUUCCAGCUCCAAUAGCGUAUACUAAAGUUGUUGCAGUUAAAAAGCUCGUAGUUGGAUUUCUGUGGGGACGGAGCGGCCGGCCGCAACACGCGGUUCGAGCUAGCGCUUUCCCUACAUCCUGCCGCGAACCGUGCUACCAUUAGUUUGGUGGCGCCGGGGAUCGGCUCGAUUACUUUGAGAAAAAUAGAGUGUUCAAAGCAGGCCACACGCCUUGAAUAAGUUAGCAUGGAAUAAUAACUAAGGACUUCGGUUCUAUUUUGUUGGUGUUCGGGACUGAAGUAAUGAUUGAUAGGGACAGUUGGGGCGGUCUGUAUUCCAAAGCGAGAGGUGAAAUUCUUAGACCUUCGGAAGACAAACAGCUGCGAAAGCGUUCCGCAAGGAUGUUCCCUUUGAUCAAGAACGAAAGUUGGGGGAUCGAAGACGAUCAGAUACCGUCGUAGUCUCAACUAUAAACUAUACCAGCUAGGGAUCGGCCAACGUUAUUCUAUACCGACUUGGUCGGCACCUUAUGAGAAAUCAAAGCAUCUGGGUUCCGGGGGGAGUAUGGUCGCAAGGCUGAAACUUAAAGGAAUUGACGGAAGGGCACCACCAGCCGUGGAGCCUGUGGCUUAAUUUGACUCAACACGGGAAAACUUACCAGGUCCAGACAUAGUAAGGAUUGACAGAUUGAUAGCUCUUUCUUGAUUCUGUGGGUGGUGGUGCAUGGCCGUUCUUAGUUGGUGGAGUGAUUUGUCUGGUUAAUUCCGUUAACGAACGAGACCCCAGCCUGCUAAAUAGCGCGUGUGAGCUUUGCUCGCAGCGAGCUUCUUAGAGGGACUAUGAUGCGCGAUAGCACAUGGAAGUUUGGGGCAAUAACAGGUCUGUGAUGCCCUUAGAUGUUCUGGGCCGCACACGGGCUACACUGGCGCCUGCAGCGAGCAUAUCAGCUGGCCCGAGAGGGUCUUGGCUAAUCUUUUGAACCGGCGCCGUGCUUGGGAUUGACCUUUGCAAUUGUUGGUCAUGCAACGAGGAAUGCCUUGUAAACGCGAGUCAUCAGCUCGCAUUGAAUACGUCCCUGCCCUUUGUACACACCGCCCGUCGCUCCUACCGAUGAAUGUUCCGAUGAAAUUUUCGGAGAGUGCCUGUGAACUUGGCUCUGACUUGCGAACGGGAAGCUCAAAGUCACU
rnacentral:rRNA from 1 species